UCUUUUCUUCUUUUUUCUCUUUUAUUUUUGUUUGUUGCUUGCUUCUUGCUCUUUUUAUUUUUGCUUCUUGGUUGUUGUUUGCUUUGCUAGGUGUCGGCGAUGGGGGUUUUGCGGCGGUGGGCACGGUGGCGCUGGUGCUAUGGCCGGCGGUUGCAGGUGCGCUAGGGAGGGCUAGGCCGGCCGCCACCUGUUGCAGGUGCAGCUUGCGUAGGUGGCUGCCAUAGGGACCAAAAUGUAAUGGCAGCAAAACUUUUGGGGCCAAAACGCAAUUUUAAGAAAGUUUAGGGGUCAAAAUGUAAAUUUGAAAAGUUUAGGGGUCAAAUUGUAAUUUAAGAAAUUUUAGGGGUUGAACUGUAAUUUUGAGAAAGUUAAGGGGUCAAAAUGCAAUUUUAGAAAA